rnacentral:lncRNA from 1 species
AAACAAACACAUUUUUAUUUCUCAUUACACACACUUUUCGCUUAACUAAAAUUUAGAAAUAAGGACUAAGGGAUUAAGAUGUUUAAAGGUAAGAGAUUUAAAAGUUUUAAGCUAAAGGACUAAAGUGUAGAAGAUGUCAAGGAUUAAGGGUGACAAACAAUCCCCUACACAACUGGUAAAGCAGUUGCCCACCCUCUACCUCAAACAAACGUCCAACAACAUCCGUCCAAAAACAACACCAAAUAAAGAGAAUCACAAGAAAUGUACUGCCCUGCCCAAUAACACUUACAAUCCCUCUUAUUUCAAACCAAAGCACACACA